ensembl:lncRNA
CACACACCAAAGCAUUUCUCAGAAACAUGCUAAAUCAUUCCAUUCAUAACACACCCUGCUGAGAGUUGUAAUACGGUGGUUUUGCUGUUGUAUAGGCAAUAACAGUGGCAAUAAAAGCAAUGCAACGGAAUAGGUGAUCAAGUAGUAUUGUUUUGUGUAACAUAUUCAUUGCAUCCACUUGGAAAAGAGCUUAUGUGCCAAUUAUUCUUACCUACUUUAAACAAAAAAAAAAGAAAAAUAGAAUGGGCGAUGGAGCCGUUUUGAGUAUUUUUUGCUUGUUUGUGUGUAUGCAUGUGUGUGUCUGUUCUGUAUUCUGCUAUUGCCUUACACUACAUAGCCUCUAGUCUCUUUCCUCAAUUUGUGUUUGUGUAUGUGUGCGUGUCUCUGUGUUAUGUGCGUGUGUGUGUGUUAUUUGAAUGUGCGUGUGUGUGUUGUGUGCGUGUGAUAUUUGUGUGUGUGUGUGUGUGUGUGUGACUGUGUUCAUAUACCCUGUGUUUUGCUGCUGCCAUGUUCUUCUGCCGCUCCCUCCUCCAGAUGCUGAAAGCGCGUCUGAGGUGUGUGUGUGUGUGAGUCUGCCCGUGGAGCUUGGCGCGGCGUCUCAUGUCUCUACUGGCUACGGUCACACUCCUCCACUGGCUGAAGGCCUGGGCGAGGGCUGGCCGGAGCAUCCUGACCAGGGCAGACGCUGCCACCAUCUGCAGAGAGAGGACACACACAUUGUAACCUGUCAAUGAGAGGCCAAGUAAAGCCACACAUGAAGCGGCAAAAAAAAAGGUUGAAUAUUAAGGUCAAAUUUGUUUCCCUCACUAACGCUGUGUGUCUCGUCUCCUCACUAACGCUGUGUGUCUCGUCUCCUCACUAACGCCGUGUGUCUCGUCUCCUCACUAACGCCGUGUGUCUCGUCUCCUCACUAACGCUGUGUGUCUCCUCUCCUCACUAACGCUGUGUGUCUCCUCUCCUCACUAACGCUGUGUGUCUCCUCACUAACGCUGUGUGUCUCCUCACUAACGCUGUGUGUCUCGUCUCCUCACUAACGCCGUGUGUCUCGUCUCCUCACUAACGCCGUGUGUCUCGUCUCCUCACUAACGCCGUGUGUCUCGUCUCCUCACUAACGCUGUGUGUCUCGUCUCCUCACUAACGCUGUGUGUCUCGUCUCCUCACUAACGCUGUGUGUCUCCUCUCCUCACUAACGCUGUGUGUCUCCUCUCCUCACUAACGCUGUGUGUCUCGUCUCCUCACUAACGCUGUGUGUCUCGUCUCCUCACUAACGCUGUGUGUCUCCUCUCCUCACUAACGCUGUGUGUCUCCUCUCCUCACUAACGCUGUGUGUCUCGUCUCCUCACUAACGCUGUGUGUCUCCUCUCCUCACUAACGCUGUGUGU